GCGAACGAGGGGACGCGCUGGAACCACGGCCGCGACUGCUGCACUGUCUACCCGGGUCGCCAGGAAACGAAACUGAGCGACCGGAGGGCAGGCUGUGUUUUUCCCCCUCUGGCCUGGAUGCAGGAAAAGUGGGUGUACAGGAGGUGAACUCUAAUGGAAUAUGACUUAAGAAAAUGCCAUGUGAAGACAAACACACAUCAGGAGAGAACACCAUGUGACAAUGGAGGCAGAGAUUGAAGUGCUGUACCUGCAAGCCAGGAAACACCAAAGACUGCUGGCCAAGCAUCAUAAUCCAGGAAGACGCAAGAACGAAGUCCCUCCUACAGGUUCCAGAGGGAACAUGACCCUUCUGACACCUUAUUUCAGACUUUUAGCCUCUAGAACUGUGAGAGAAUAAAUGUUUUUUUAUGUCA